rnacentral:lncRNA from 1 species
GGGGCACGCAUCCUAACUACCUAUAAUUUUCCAAACCUUUUCAGGAGAUUAUAGGAUCUUUCGUAAUGCCUAUUGCAAGGGAGUAGAGCUAGGACAACAGGAACUCCACACUGACUUUCAACUUCCUGGUUUCUAUUCCAUGUCACCUCUGCCCGCCUUGAACAGCUUUAGCUCCAUCCUGACUCUAUAUAGCCUUCAAGUCUGUUGUUUAUCUUAUCAGCUUUAAGUACUAAAAUACCCAGGAUCUUAAUAACUCAAAAGCCAUUUUUCCUCAGAGCUAUUAU